UUGCUUUCACGAAAAGAAAGUCAUCAGUAACAUAGAAAGUCUGUAGAUCAGACCAAAUACGUGUAUAAAAACACUCAAUUCACACUCUUCCCAAUCCCAUUACUUGAUCUACUCUACCCACAAUAUUGGCUCAUAACUGAAAGGGAAGAGUAGAAGAUAAAACAGGUAUGAGGUCUGAAUUUUCUUCUGUAAAAAUCUCAACCCACAUUGUAAUUUAGUCCAAUAAAUAUUGACAACAAAGGUGGAAGAUAGUACAGAUCUAUUGAUUUUCCAAUUUUCUUCAGUGAAUCCUCUGUUUGAAGGGAGAAAAAAAUGGCUGAGGUUUCUGCUAAGAGUUUCAUACCUGAAUCAUUNNN
rnacentral:lncRNA from 1 species